rfam:Nicotiana attenuata strain TT chromosome 2, whole genome shotgun sequence.
AUGCCAUGAUGUGGGCACCUAACCAGCAUACCUUUGAACCUCUCCCACGUUUCUUGUAAUGUUUCUAUUGGUUUCUGCCAAACUCAAUAUCUCAUCAAUUUGUUG